rnacentral:rRNA from 1 species
AUUGAACGCUGGCGGCAGGCUUAACACAUGCAAGUCGAGCGGAGAUGAGGUGCUUGCACCUUAUCUUAGCGGCGGACGGGUGAGUAAUGCUUAGGAAUCUGCCUAUUAGUGGGGGACAACAUUCCGAAAGGAAUGCUAAUACCGCAUACGUCCUACGGGAGAAAGCAGGGGAUCUUCGGACCUUGCGCUAAUAGAUGAGCCUAAGUCGGAUUAGCUAGUUGGUGGGGUAAAGGCCUACCAAGGCGACGAUCUGUAGCGGGUCUGAGAGGAUGAUCCGCCACACUGGGGAUGCGACACGGCCCCGACUCCUACGGGAGGCAGCAGUGGGGAAUAUUGGGCAAUGGGGGGAACCCUGAUCCAGCCAUGCCGCGUGUGUGAAGAAGGCCUUAUGGUUGUAAAGCACUUUAAGCGAGGAGGAGGCUACUGAGACUAAUACUCUUGGAUAGUGGACGUUACUCGCAGAAUAAGCACCGGCUAACUCUGUGCCAGCCGCCGCCGUAA